UACAGAGGUCUCAAGCGUUGUUCGGAUUCAUUGGGCGUAAAGGGUGCGUAGGUGGCGGGGUAAGUCAGGUGUGAAAUCUCGAGGCUCAACCUCGAAACUGCACUUGAUACUGCCUUGCUCGAGUACUGGAGAGGAGAUUGGAAUUUACGGUGUAGCAGUGAAAUGCGUAGAUAUCGUAAGGAAGACCAGUGGCGAAGGCGAAUCUCUGGACAGUUCCUGACACUGAGGCACGAAGGCCAGGGGAGCAAACGGG
rnacentral:rRNA from 1 species